UACUAUUAUUAUGUGUAAUUAUAUAUACUUAUUUAUCAAGAUAUUGCAUGUGAGAGUACUCUUGAAUGUGAUACAAAAUUAUUACCUCCUUUACUUCUGAUGACCAUGGAAGAUUAUUGCAAAUUUGAAGAGAAAUUUCAACAAGACAGGGAAAUCAGAAAACAGUUUAAAAAGAAAACUUCAACAAUUGAAGGAACUACAUAUGCUAAUCAGACGAGAAAUAUUCUGAAAUUUAUUUUAGAUGAUAACGUUUCCAAAAAAUAGUCGUGAACAGGAAAAAAAACAAUCAACACCAACGAAAGACACAACAUUUGCUAGCAUUAUUACAGGCAAUUAAAAACACAAAUAUUAUAAACAUUACAUUUCUACGGUAGAAAAUUGCAGUCUUCAUCAGGUGCAGAAAGUUAUCUAAGAAUGGUUGCAGCACGCAGGAAAUCGCUUCCAUUAUUUAUUGAAAAAGAUGACAUAAUAUAAAGUGACAUAUAAGUAGUGAUAUAAAUAUAUAUUUUUAUAAGUGCAAAAUGUAUUUUUAUAAGUGUUACAAAUAUACAUAUGUAUAUUUAGA